rnacentral:lncRNA from 1 species
CAAGUCCCAGUCCCAGACCUGGAGGACUUACAAGGCAUGUAGAGAAGCUGCUGGACCCGCCAAGGCUUCUCUCUACAGUCAGAUGUCUCUGGGCUUAGAAGAUGUACUCUGAGACUGGGGACCCAGGCCUGGACAGGCCACUGCCUUACCCAGUAGCUUCGUGCAAGUCACCUGUAUUUGAGACUCAGCUACCUGCUCUGCAGAACUGCAGUAACGGUGUGGAUCCAUUGACUUCAGAGGGUAAGAUGGCCCUGACUCUCGUGCCUGAGUUUCUAAACUGUGAGACAGUGGCUGCUCUACCAGUUAGAAAUCAGAAGUUUUAGUCUAUCCUGCUGUUCGCUUAUUCAGCAAGUAUUUGUCAACAGCUAUGGUGUGUGCCUACCCAGGCACUCAGACUCAGCCACAGUCUACAGACCUCCCGCUUCCUGACCACUUGCUCUGAAAAUCUGGGUUGUGAUCUCAAAACCUAAAGACUUCCCAAUCCCACGUCCUGACCUCCGUGUCUUGUUUGGAAUAUCGCAACCCCCAAUCCUGUACCCCCAGUCCUGUGCCCACCUCCACACACACUGCCGCUCUGUCCGACUCAGUACAUAGAUGUGUGGCUUCUGGCCCCACAAGGUAGGAGUGUGGGUGAGUGUGUAUUCGGGUGUGAGUGCCCCUGAGAGUGUAAGGCUGUGUGAAUAUAAGGAUGUGGAGUGUGGGUGUGUAUCUGAGUGUGUUUGAGCGUGUGUGUGUAAUGAGUGAGAGUCGCUGUCAGGGCUUGUUUGACUGUAGUUGGGUCAAGUAUGGAGUGAGUGUGCCAUGUGUGGGGGUGUGGAUGAGCCAGUGUGGGUGUGCAUGAUUUUGUGUGAGGGUGUGCAAAGCCUCAGUCCCUCAUCAGUCAAAGACACACCCUCACGUGCAUGUGGGCACAUAUGCAUUCCAAGGGUCGAAGGUGGCUAAGCUGUAAGCCCAUCUUCCGAUAAGGGAAGACUUUGUCCACAGGCCAGGGAUCACUCUCCCCUCCCCACCCCAACAUGGAAGUGGGGAUCCCCCAGCUAAAAGUUGCCUCUGUCAGGAACGAGCACCCUGAGACUGCGGCCCACGGCCCACCUCCCACCUCAAGCCAGGCCGCCUCCUCCUCUCUCUCAGCUGCUUUCCAGCCCAGCCCUGGCAGUGACCCUGGACCGAGAGGCGAAGGACGGGCUGGUGGCCAGACAUUCCAGGUGCCUCCCUGGCUGUGGGGGGCAUCUCCAUGGAGACGAGCAGCUGACCAUAACAAGAUGAUUAUCGGGGCUCCCAGGGUCCCCCCCAGCCUCUCCCAAACAGACCUCUUCAGCACUAAGCCGUGCCAGGAAGUGUGACAAGAACCCAUUGCUCCUCACAGGAGCUUCUGAAAAAGGCAGAGACCACAGAGCCAUGGGAUUGUCCCUGAAACAGCUUCCCCGACGCAAGAGACCAAAGAAGUUGGCCAAGGCAAUUGGAUCUGGUUUAAGGCUUUAUCCCCAGAGAUCUCUAGAAGCAGGGGACGAUGCCACCCAUUCCUUCUUCGCCCAUUAUAUUUCACUCUGACCUGGAGGUAUGACCAAGGCAAUAGAGGGUGGGGGCCCCUAGAGGAGUCAGGGUGGCUGGUUUGCAGCCCACUCAUCACCCCACCCCACUGUCAAUCUCAGCUGUCCCUAAGACGUGCCGGUUAGUGUCCCCUAGUGUGCUUUGGCCAUACACGGGGCUGGGAAGGGGCACCGAUCCUUUUCUGGCUCCCAAAGCUGCUGGGUCUCUCAGUGUGUUGGUGAGAGCUGGAAGAGGUCCCCAGAGUCACUGCAAUUGUCCUGGUUUCUGCCCUGUUCUUGAGGAGCUAAAGUGGGAUGUCAAUGAGACCUCAGAAAGAACUUCCUGAUAGGAGGCUGUGAAACAAGAUUAGUAAACACAGAUUGGGAUUUUUGCUUGUGCCCUCAACCUUCUGGGAUUGCCUCCUGGCCAUGAUGCCACAUACACCACCCUGUGAACCCGUUUCAUCGCCAUCACCACUCUCAACCCCUACCAUAUCCCCUGAGCCCCACGACGGGAUGGGAUGCCCAGCCCUCCCUUUCUCAGGAGCCUGAAUUUUCUGGAGAGGACCCAGGGUGGGAAAGAGUCUCUGGCUUCCAUCUCCCCUAAGCCCAGGCUGCCUGGGGAAAGCUGACUCCACUGAAGCUGGAGGGACUGGGGCUUAACUCCCAGGCUGACUAAGGCCCCACAGAAGCUCCAAGCUCCCGGAACUAGAGCAGAUGGCCUUGGGGAAUCAGGCGUCACUUGCAAGCCUGUCUUCAUGCUUUCCUUCCCCACGGUACAUAGGGAGCUCAGAAGGAGUCAUCGUCACCAUCGUUAUAGCCUGCACUUCCAAAGCCCUUCCUGCCACAUCUGGCAUUGUUCUGAUGCGUGUGUUAAUCCACUUACCCCGCCUUGCACAACCUAAUGAGGUAGAUACUAUUACUAUCCCCAUUUCACAGAGGAAGAAACUGAUAUUCAGAGAGGUGACAUCAGUCAGGGAUGCCGCAGGCACAGAUAGUGUCCUCUGAGGCUUCACUGAAGAGAGCCUGAGGAGGGACUAUUUACAGAGGUGGCGGUAGAGUCAAGGGGACCAACCAGGGACGGCUUGGGGACUAACCAACAGCAGCCGUUCCCCCUCAGCCAGAAGAGGCAAGGGGAGAGCAGUGUUCUAGAAUGCAGGAAAAACCAGAGCCCUGGAAAAGGCGUGAAUAGCCUGACCUUUAUCCCCCCACCCUUCCUGCCCUCUGGUUUCCUAGCUGUGUCUCCCAUUUGCCAAACCCAGCUGGAAGCCUGAGGGCAAGAAGGCCCCGGGAAUGCCGCCCCGCCCGUAGAGAUUAGCCUCCUGAGACACAGAACAGGAUAGGGAUUGGAUCUGGAGCAGAUGGAGACUCCCACCCACCCAAGAUCCCGUGGCUGGGAAAGGCUCGUUUGGAACCUAGGUAAUCUGCAUUCAGAGCCCUACUCCCUGAGAUGUUGCGAAAUGCUCUCUGGGGAAGGGAUUGAGAAGACUGGGGUCUAGUGCAGGCUCUGCCGCUCUGCUCUGUGACUCUAGAUGAGACUCUAGUUUUGCCUUUACACAAAGAGGAGGUGUCCCCUCCUGGCACCCUCCACAGCCUAGGUGCCCAGACCAGACACAUCCUCUGUGUUUCCACUGCCACCCCCUCCCUUACCUCAGACAAACCUGGCACCAAAAGCCAAAGCCCGGGACAUGGAGAUGCUGAGUCCCUGAGGAGCCCAUCCCUAGCUGGGGGCAGACGCACUCAUUCCCCUGCCCCCGUCAGACUCCGAGGUUCUACCCAGGAAGCCUCCUUCCAGUCUCCCUGGUGGCCCCAGGGUCUCCAUCUCCAUAUUUCCUUUCUUUGUACUACCACAUUCCCAGGGCCCAUAGCUCAGGGGUCCUACCCGCAAGACAGGCUCCCUCCUCCCAGCCAGAAGGUUCGAGGCCCUGCUUAGGCCAGCAACCUCACAAACUGUUCCUCGGGGAUCCAGGCUGUCUCUGGCCCCUGGGGUCCCUGUACUGGGUGGAGUAGUCCCUCUUCUCCCCUUCCCACCCCACCCAACUCUACCCCACCCACGUUUCCCCAAGCCUAGAAGUGCCCCACCUAGGUUUUCAGAAAAACAAAAUCAAGAGGAAAGAGGAAGGAGGGAGCUCAUUACCAGGAAUUAAGGAGGAGGCCUGCCCUAGGGGAACACAAGUGAGACUUGGCUGGCAGGCAGAGAUAUGCACUGAGUACAUGGAGGUGUACUCAAAGUACACUGAGAGAGGGGCUCAGAGGAACAUGCAGAGAUGUGAUCUGAGGGUCACAGUCCAGGAUGUUCACUCAGAGGUACACAAAGAAAGACCCAGACACAAGGCUGGGCACUGUGGUUCAUGCCUGUAAUCCCAGCACUUUGGGUGGCCAAGGCAGGUGGAUCACCUGAGGUCAGGAGUUCGACACCAGCCUGGGCAACACGGUGAAACCCUGUCUCUACUAAAAAUACAAAAAUUAGCUGGGCGUGGUGGCAUGUGCUUGUAAUCCCAGCUACUCGGGAGGCUGAGGCAGGAGAAUUGCUUCAACCCAGGAGGCAGAGGUUGCAGUGAGCUGAGAUCACACCAUUGCACUCCAGCCUGGAUGACAAGAGUGAAACUCCAUCUCAAAAAUAAUAAUAAUAAUAAUAAUAAAAGAAAGACCCAGACACAAAGAGUCAGGCAGUAAGAGAUACUCGGAAAGAGACAGAGACAUGGUCUGCCAGAGGUUUGGACCCACAGAGACAUAACCAGAUACAUUGAAAGAAAGGCACAACCAGAAACACUAAGUGCAUUUGCUUGGGUGCACACACACACUGAGGCAGGCACACUAAGAAACAGGAACCAAGCUCAAGUUUCACAGAGACUGAUUUUAACCCAAGCAGAUCUGAAUUUUAAGGAAACAUGAGCUCCUCCAAAGUGGGCUGUGGAGAUGGCUCAGCACAGGAAGAAGGGACAGAGGUGAGAUAGGGGAUGCAAUUCUCCCUUCA